rnacentral:rRNA from 1 species
AGUGAACGCUGGCGGUAGGCCUAACACAUGCAAGUCGAACGGCAGCACAGUAAGAGCUUGCUCUUACGGGUGGUGAGUGGCGGACGGGUGAGGAAUACAUCUGAAUCUACUUUUUCGUGGGGGAUAACGUAGGGAAACUUACGCUAAUACCGCAUACGACCUACGGGUGAAAGCAGGGGAUCUUCGGACCUUGCGCGAUUGAAUGAGCCGAUGUCGGAUUAGCUAGUUGGCGGGGUAAAGGCCCACCAAGGCGACGAUCCGUAGCUGGUCUGAGAGGAUGAUCAGCCACACUGGAACUGAGACACGGUCCAGACUCCUACGGGAGGCAGCAGUGGGGAAUAUUGGACAAUGGGCGCAAGCCUGAUCCAGCCAUACCGCGUGGGUGAAGAAGGCCUUCGGGUUGUAAAGCCCUUUUGUUGGGAAAGAAAAGCAGCAGGUUAAUACCCCGCUGUUCUGACGGUACCCAAAGAAUAAGCACCGGCUAACUUCGUG